rnacentral:rRNA from 1 species
CACUCCUACGGGAGGCAGCAGUGAGGAAUAUUGGACAAUGGGUGGAAGCCUGAUCCAGCCAUCCCGCGUGCAGGAAGACGGCCCUAUGGGUUGUAAACUGCUUUUAUCUGGGGAUAAACCUACUUACGUGUAAGUAGCUGAAGGUACCAGAAGAAUAAGCACCGGCUAACUCCGUGCCAGCAGCCGCGGUAAUACGGAGGGUGCAAGCGUUAUCCGGAUUUAUUGGGUUUAAAGGGUCCGUAGGCGGAGUGAUAAGUCAGUGGUGAAAUCCGACAGCUUAACUGUCGAACUGCCAUUGAUACUGUUAGUCUUGAGUAAGGUUGAAGUGGCUGGAAUAAGUAGUGUAGCGGUGAAAUGCAUAGAUAUUACUUAGAACACCAAUUGCGAAGGCAGGUCACUAAGUCUUAACUGACGCUGAUGGACGCAAGCGUGGGGAGCGAACAGGAUUAGAAACCCGGGUAGUCC